UGGAUCAAUGGUGACUGCUGGUGGCAUGUGAGACAUAUAUGAUGAAUGUGUGUCUGGAACUAUGAGGUUCCU
ensembl:snoRNA